GGGAGAUGGCUCAGUUGGUAAAGUACAUGCUGCGCAAGCAUGGAGACUUGGGUUCAAAUCCCCAGAACCCA
rnacentral:tRNA from 1 species